AUAACAGAAGCCACCCACUUAACGGCGAGUGAACAGGGAAAAGCUCACAGUUGGAACCUCCUGGCCCUAGGCCUGGCGGAUUGUAAACUAAAGCUUUCGAGUAGUUCGGCUAGCCCAGUAAAUAAGUUCUCUGGAAAGGGACGACAAAGAGGGUGAAAUCCCCGUUUUUGGCUGGAGCAUAGUCUUGCGUUUGCUUGGAAGUGAAGAGUCAGGUUGUUUGGUAUUGCAGCCUAAAGUUGGAGGUAAAUCUCUCCUAAAGCUAAAUAUUGACGAAAGACCGAUAGCGAACAAGUACCGUGAGGGAAAGAUGAAAAGCACCUUGAAAAGGGGGUCAAAAAGUACGUGAAAUUGCUGAAAGGGAACCGUAUGAAAUCAGCCUGUCUCUUUGGUAAUCAGCCUGGACUUUGGUCUGGGUGCACUUGCCAGUGAGUCAGCCUACGACAAUUUGACCUGGGGGAAAAAAUCAGGGGGAAUGUGGCCUCGGCUUCGGUUGAGGUGUUAUAGCCCCUUGAAAAAUACUCUGGGUUGGAUUGAGGACUGCAGCGAGCCUUAUGGGAUGAACUGUGGGUGCUUGGUCAUAUCUAGAAAGAAAUCUCUAUCUCUGGUAGUGUCUUUUUAGUUGUGGUCAACUCGCCUACUUUUUCUUUUCUCGCUUAG
rnacentral:rRNA from 1 species